rnacentral:lncRNA from 13 species
CCCAGUUCCCAUGUACAAAGUUCUGUUGUGGUUUAGUUGAACUAGUCCCCAACAACAUGGUUACAAUUUGAAUUAUGAUAGUGUAUUGACGGUGUGUCAUUGCACAAAGUACAAACUUUGAUGCCAAUGCUUCAUUCCACAGAUCUCUCCAUGAAUAACAGAUGUGCAUCCUGGUUUCUUCUGCCAUAGUCUGUCUGGUGACUGGUCACUGAGCAUCUGCUAUCCAGUUUACACACAGACAGCAAGAGAGAAGAUCCUGCAACCAAGAGGAGGACUCCAAACUGGGAAAGAGCAGGAAGCUGUGUCUUACUGUCACUGUAGUCCCAGCACCCGGCAUAGUGCCACACACAUGACAGAUGGGUCCUGAAGUCUCCCAGACCAGUGUUGUCCUGAACUGGAGGAGGCAGUAGAGGAGGAAGUAAGUCCUAAUAAUAAAUACUACUGUAUAACAGCA